rnacentral:rRNA from 1 species
UACGUAGGGGGCAAGCGUUGUCCGGAUUUAUUGGGCGUAAAGAGCGUGUAGGCGGCCAUACAGGUCAGCUGUGAAAACUCGAGGCUCAACCUCGAGACGUCGGUUGAAACCGUUUGGCUAGAGUCCGGAAGAGGAGAGUGGAAUUCCCGGUGUAGCGGUGAAAUGCGCAGAUAUCGGGAAGAACACCCGUGGCGAAGGCGGCUCUCUGGACCGAUGCUGACGCUGAGACGCGAAAGCGUGGGGAGCAAACAGG